CACGUAGGCGGACCGGAAAGUUGGAGGUGAAAUCCCAGGGCUCAACCCUGGAAUAGCCUUCGAUACUGAGAGUCUUGAGUUCGGAAGAGGUUGGUGGAAUUGCGAGUGUAGAGGUGAAAUUCGUAGAUAUUCGCAAGAACACCAGUGGCGAAGGCGGCCAACUGGUCCGAUACUGACGCUGAGGCGCGAAAGCGUGGGGAGCAACA
rnacentral:rRNA from 1 species